rnacentral:rRNA from 1 species
AUUGAACGCUGGCGGCAUGCCUUACACAUGCAAGUCGAACGGUAACGGGCCUUCGGGUUCCGCCGAGUGGCGAACGGGUGCGUAAUACAUCGGAACGUGCCCGAUCGUGGGGGAUAACGAGGCGAAAGCUUUGCUAAUACCGCAUACGAUCUACGGAUGCAAGCAGGGGACCGCAAGGCCUUGCGCGGACGGAGCGGCCGAUGGCAGAUUAGGUAGUUGGUGGGAUAAAAGCUUACCAAGCCGACGAUCUGUAGCUGGUCUGAGAGGAUGAUCAGCCACACUGGGACUGAGACACGGCCCAGACUCCUACGGGAGGCAGCAGUGGGGAAUUUUGGACAAUGGGCGCAAGCCUGAUCCAGCCAUGCCGCGUGCAGGAUGAAGGCCUUCGGGUUGUAAACUGCUUUUGUACGGAACGAAAAGCCUUCUUUUAAUACAGGAGGGUCAUGACGGUACCGUAAGAAUAAGCACCGGCUAACUACGUG